CACACAUUGCCUGGUGCCCUGUCCAGCGCUGCAAGGUGCACUGCGUCUCCUCUGCCCAGCAAGCCACAAGCCCCUCCAGGGUGAGAGGAGAGCCUUCCCUUCCCUUGGUCCUCCCUUCGACACAGGGAGCUGGAGCUGGACAGCCCCAUAGGCACUCAGUAAGCACACACCAUGUAGAUAAGUUAACAUGUACCUUUGAAAAGGUGGAUCACGGGGAUUUUGUAAUGAUGCAGCAGCGAGGAUGCUUUGAGGAUGGAACUUGGGGUCUUUCAAGUUCUCAGUAGGGCUGCGAUCCUUCCUGGACUCUAGUUGUAUCCUGCCUGGUUCCUUCCCUCCAUCCACACGGACCCCCAACAAGUCCAUAAAACCAUCAUCUUACCUGGGCAACUCAACAGCCUCCCAGUGGGUCUUCCCAUGGCCAUUCUCACUCCUAACAUUCUCCGUGGAACAUCUAGAGUCAUCUUCUUAAACUUCAAAUCUGCUUAUGGUGCACAAGGCCAUGCUUCACUGGGGAGCUGCAAGGAGAG
rnacentral:lncRNA from 1 species